UUAGAUUGUAACAGAAGAGUUUAACCUCUUUAAAAAGUUAUAGUGGAGUGGAUGUGAUACUAAUGAGGCAAAAUCUUUAGCUGAUUAUUUUGGUAUCACCAAGACUCACAGCAACUUGACUAGUAGCUUCUGGUGGCCAAAUAUGAAAUUGGAUGAUGUUAAUUUUGUAAAAUGUUGUGAUAUUUGCCAGCGUAGCAACACAAGAUUUGACAAAACUAACAAUGAGCUGCAUUCAAUUCUUAUUCCAACAAAGAUGAGAAUAGCGGAGAGCAUUUUUGUCGAGGAACAAUAUCGAGGAACAUUAGCGAGGAACAUUAGCGAGGAACAUUAUCGAGGAACAUUAUGAAAGAAAUAACGAGGAACAUUAUUGAGG